GAUGAACGCUGGCGGCGUGCUUAACACAUGCAAGUCGAACGGGGUACCCAUGACAGAGGCUUCGGCCAAUUGAUUGGAAUACCUAGUGGCGGACGGGUGAGUAACGCGUGAGGAACCUGCCUUGGAGUGGGGAAUAACAGUUGGAAACAGCUGCUAAUACCGCAUGAUAUGUCUGUGUCGCAUGGCACUGGACAGCAAAGAUUUAUCGCUCUGAGAUGGCCUCGCGUCUGAUUAGCUAGUUGGUGGGGUAACGGCUCACCAAGGCGACGAUCAGUAGCCGGACUGAGAGGUUGGCCGGCCACAUUGGGCCUGAGACACGGCCCAGACUCCUACGGGAGGCAGCAGUGGGGAAUAUUGGGCAAUGGGCGCAAGCCUGACCCAGCAACGCCGCGUGAAGGAAGAAGGCUUUCGGGUUGUAAACUUCUUUUGUCAGGGACGAUAGUGACGGUACCUGACGAAUAAGCCACGGCUAACUACGUGCCAGCAGCCGCCGUAA
rnacentral:rRNA from 1 species